UACGUAGGGUGCGAGCGUUAAUCGGAAUUACUGGGCGUAAAGCGUGCGCAGGCGGUGAUGUAAGACAGUUGUGAAAUCCCCGGGCUCAACCUGGGAACUGCAUUUGGGACUGCAAGGCUGGAGUACGGCAGAGGGAGGUGGAAUUCCACGUGUAGCAGUGAAAUGCGUAGAGAUGUGGAGGAACACCGAUGGCGAAGGCAGCCUCCUGGGCUAGUACUGACGCUCAUGCACGAAAGCGUGGGGAGCAAACAGG
rnacentral:rRNA from 1 species